rnacentral:misc_RNA from 1 species
UGUGGGAGCGAGCCUGCUCGCGAUAGCUGUCUGCCGGUCGGCAUCCAUGUCGACUGACACACCGCCAUCGCGAGCAGGCUCGCUCCCACA